rnacentral:lncRNA from 1 species
CCAGCCAGUCAUGCCAACACAAUAACAAUAUAACAUAAGCCAUCAAUUUAAACAAUCAAAUUGCCACAAUUAACAGUCUCCGUGUACUCUAUUUUUUUCAAAAUCAUUAUUAGUUUCAAAACAAUUUAUAAUUUAAUUUCAUUGGAACACCUUUAUUCAUAAAACAUGAAAAUUUACCUUUUAAAUCCAUUUUUCCAUAGAAUUCAUGAAAUCAUCUAAAAACCACCCUAGAUAAUUAAAAUGAUAGUAAGUUUACUCACAAUGUCUAGAAUGCAGACUUUCGAAGUACUUUGUCUAUUGGUCAUCGGAUGCAAUUUCCUUGCCUUUAUCAGAGAACUCACCACCUUGACACAUUACAAAAAUUGAGAAAUUCACCACAUUGAUACGAAAUUGAAAUUAAACUAAUUUAGGCUACUAAUGGAUAAUAUGGAAUGCAAAAAUGUCCGAAUAGCCGUUUAAAUACGGUAUUCGACCUAAUUCGCACUAUUCUCGGUCUAAUCGGCUAAAAUCUUCAAUUUAACUCCAAAUCGAUUCUUUUCACUUUCUACACUCCAAUUAUACCUAAAUUACCUCAGUGACUGUGAAUGAGGUUCAAUUUAUCAGUCCCGGGUCAAUAAUUACACAUGUCUAUAUGUUGAGCAAAAAUUCG